GUUUUAUGUUUCAGCUAAAGCAUCACAGAAAACUCUAUGAAGCUUAUGUCCCUAUGAAGUACAGACACUACCUGAAGAAGAUGAAGAAAGCCGGGGAGUGGGGAGAUCAUCUUACCCUUCAGGCAGCUGCAGAUCGAUUUGGAGCCAAAAUUUGUGUAAUCACCUCUUUUCGAGACGCUUGCUAUAUUGAGAUCCUUCCUAAAGACAGGAAUCCUACCCGAGGUUUAUCUCAUUUGCUUACUUUAUCUUAUCUAAAUUUAAUUAUAGUUUGCUUUUUGAAACUUGAAA